AUGGGUCCUUGCCAACCAACUAAUCAUACAUAUGAAAAGAUAAAUGGUAGGAGCUUUCAUGGCUAUUGGUUCAAUGAUCAUCGCGACUGGUUCGAAUAUAGCAUUGAAAAGAAAUCAGCCUUUUGCUUUUAUGUUUUCUGUUUAAGCAACCAAGAGCUGAAAACUAUGGUAUUGAAGCAUUCACGAGAAAUGGAUUAA
rnacentral:rRNA from 1 species